rnacentral:rRNA from 1 species
ACAGGCUUAACACAUGCAAGUCGAGGGGCAGCAUUUCAGUUUGCUUGCAAACUGGAGAUGGCGACCGGCGCACGGGUGAGUAACACGUAUCCAACCUGCCGAUAACUCGGGGAUAGCCUUUCGAAAGAAAGAUUAAUACCCGAUGGUAUAAUCAGACCGCAUGGUCUUGUUAUUAAAGAAUUUCGGUUAUCGAUGGGGAUGCGUUCCAUUAGGCAGUUGGUGAGGUAACGGCUCACCAAACCUUCGAUGGAUAGGGGUUCUGAGAGGAAGGUCCCCCACAUUGGAACUGAGACACGGUCCAAACUCCUACGGGAGGCAGCAGUGAGGAAUAUUGGUCAAUGGGCGCAGGCCUGAACCAGCCAAGUAGCGUGAAGGAUGACUGCCCUAUGGGUUGUAAACUUCUUUUAUAUGGGAAUAAAGUUUUCCACGUGUGGAAUUUUGUAUGUACCAUAUGAAUAAGGAUCGGCUAACUCCGUGCCAGCAGCCGCGGUAAUACGGAGGAUCCGAGCGUUAUCCGGAUUUAUUGGGUUUAAAGGGAGCGUAGGUGGACAGUUAAGUCAGUUGUGAAAGUUUGCGGCUCAACCGUAAAAUUGCAGUUGAUACUGGCUGUCUUGAGUACAGUAGAGGUGGGCGGAAUUCGUGGUGUAGCGGUGAAAUGCUUAGAUAUCACGAAGAACUCCGAUUGCGAAGGCAGCUCACUGGACUGCAACUGACACUGAUGCUCGAAAGUGUGGGUAUCAAACAGGAUUAGAUACCCUGGUAGUCCACACAGUAAACGAUGAAUACUCGCUGUUUGCGAUAUACAGUAAGCGGCCAAGCGAAAGCAUUAAGUAUUCCACCUGGGGAGUACGCCGGCAACGGUGAAACUCAAAGGAAUUGACGGGGGCCCGCACAAGCGGAGGAACAUGUGGUUUAAUUCGAUGAUACGCGAGGAACCUUACCCGGGCUUAAAUUGCAUUUGAAUAUAUUGGAAACAGUAUAGCCGUAAGGCAAAUGUGAAGGUGCUGCAUGGUUGUCGUCAGCUCGUGCCGUGAGGUGUCGGCUUAAGUGCCAUAACGAGCGCAACCCUUAUCUUUAGUUACUAACAGGUCAUGCUGAGGACUCUAGAGAGACUGCCGUCGUAAGAUGUGAGGAAGGUGGGGAUGACGUCAAAUCAGCACGGCCCUUACGUCCGGGGCUACACACGUGUUACAAUGGGGGGUACAGAAGGCAGCUACCUGGUGACAGGAUGCUAAUCCCAAAAGCCUCUCUCAGUUCGGAUCGAAGUCUGCAACCCGACUUCGUGAAGCUGGAUUCGCUAGUAAUCGCGCAUCAGCCAUGGCGCGGUGAAUACGUUCCCGGGCCUUGUACACACCGCCCGUCAAGCCAUGAAAGCCGGGGGUACCUGAAGUACGUAACCGCAAGGAGCGUCCUAGGGUAAAACUGGUAAUUGGGGCU